ACUGGCGGCAUCAACGUGGUGGACGAUUUGGCGCGAAAGAAAUAAUAUUAUUUUUAGAAAUCUAGAUGCCGACGCUAUCGUUUCUGUGCAACGCAUUGGGAUACUGGCAAAGGAGUGGGCUGAGUUUUGUAGAGCUGGGUGAUAUCCGCUUUAUUUGAGUGUUUGAUUCGACGUUUGUAGUUGGUUUUUAUUCACUUGUUUAU
rnacentral:lncRNA from 1 species